rnacentral:rRNA from 1 species
GAUGAACGCUGGCGGCGUGCCUAAUACAUGCAAGUCGAGCGAACAGACGAGGAGCUUGCUCCUCUGACGUUAUCGGCGGACGGGAGAGUAACACGUGGAUAACCUACCUAUAAGACUGGGAUAACUUCGGGAAACCGGAGCUAAUACCGGAAAAUAUAUUGAACCGCAUGGUUCAAUAGUGAAAGACGGUUUUGCUGUCACUUAUAGAUGGAUCCGCGCCGCAUUAGCUAGUUGGUAAGGUAACGGCUUACCAAGGCAACGAUGCGUAGCCGACCUGAGAGGGUGAUCGGCCACACUGGAACUGAGACACGGUCCAGACUCCUGCGGGAGGCAGCAGUAGGGAAUCUUCCGCAAUGGGCGAGAGCCUGACGGAGCAACGCCGCGUGAAUGAUGAAGGUCUUCGGAUCGUAAAACUCUGUUAUUAGGGAAGAACAAAUGUGUAAGUACCUAUGCACGUCUUGACGGUACCUAAUCAGAAAGCCACGGCUAACUACGUG